rnacentral:rRNA from 1 species
CCUACGGGGGGCAGCAGUGGGGAAUAUUGCACAAUGGGGGAAACCCUGAUGCAGCGACGCCGCGUGAGUGAAGAAGUAUUUCGGUACGUAAAGCUCUAUCAGCAGGGAAGAAAAUGACGGUACCUGACUAAGAAGCCCCGGCUAACUACGUGCCAGCAGCCGCGGUAAUACGUAGGGGGCAAGCGUUAUCCGGAUUUACUGGGUGUAAAGGGAGCGUAGACGGCAGCGCAAGUCUGGAGUGAAAUCCCAUGGCUUAACCAUGGAACUGCUUUGGAAACUGUGCAGCUAGAGUGCAGGAGAGGUAAGCGGAAUUCCUAGUGUAGCGGUGAAAUGCGUAGAUAUUAGGAGGAACACCAGUGGCGAAGUCGGCUUACUGGACUGUAACUGACGUUGAGGCUCGAAAGCGUGGGGAGCAAACAGGAUUAGAUACCCCUGUAGUC